GAUGAACGCUGGCGGCGUGCCUAAUACAUGCAAGUCGAGCGAACGGACGAGAAGCUUGCUUCUCUGAUGUUAGCGGCGGACGGGUGAGUAACACGUGGAUAACCUACCUAUAAGACUGGGAUAACUUCGGGAAACCGGAGCUAAUACCGGAUAAUAUUUUGAACCGCAUGGUUCAAAAGUGAAAGACGGUCUUGCUGUCACUUAUAGAUGGAUCCGCGCUGCAUUAGCUAGUUGGUAAGGUAACGGCUUACCAAGGCAACGAUGUAUAGCCGACCUGAGAGGGUGAUCGGCCACACUGGAACUGAGACACGGUCCAGACUCCUACGGGAGGCAGCAGUAGGGAAUCUUCCGCAAUGGGCGAAAGCCUGACGGAGCAACGCCGCGUGAGUGGUGAAGGUUUUCGGAUCGUAAAACUCUGUUAUUAGGGAAGAACAUAUGUGUAAGUAACUGUGCACAUCUUGACGGUACCUAAUCAGAAAGCCACGGCUAACUACGUG
rnacentral:rRNA from 1 species